AUGAGGCCCUUCCAGCAGCCUUGGCCCACAGAAUUUGCCUCCUGGCGAAGUUUUGCUCAAAGUGCAAACUGAUAAAAGCAGCUGAAAAGGGUGUGAGAAACAAACAUAUAUACGUAAUUAAAUAGCUGUAUCUACAUGUGUGUGUCUGUGUGUUCUGAAACCCUAUCAGAGGCUCUGAUAUAUAUAUUUAUUGAUAAAUAUUAUAUAUAUAUAUAUUUCAUUUCUUGCCAAAACAAGUACAACACAGCACCAAAGGCAUAUCGGACCACAAACAAUUUCAACAAACAUUGGGGGUUCGCUUCUCCACUUUUUCUUCCUGUCCUCGCGUUCAGGAAUUUGAACGGUCACUGGCCUAGAAUCGAGAAGAUUUUGAAAUUCACUUAUUAUCUUUUACUGUCAUGACUCAAUGCGUUUCCCAUGUUGCUGGAGAGAUUUCACAUCCGUCAUUUCAAUUGUUACGCAAUCGUCCACUCCCUGAGACAAUAACUCAUUUAAGGCACGGGUUGUCGUGGGAAUUGAGUUAAUGGAAGAAAUGGGCUUGCAGCAGAGUUGGGCACCUCCUAACGGCUCAGUAAAUGUGAACGUUACUUUAAUUUCAUCCUCACGACAAGUUGACGAGAUGAGGAAACAGACUCAGAGAGCCUCGGUGACGUGCCCGAGAUCACACAGCACCCAAGGGAAGAAUUGGGAUGCCAACCAUGAUCUGCCUGAUUUAAAAGCCCAGGCCCUUCACAGUCUGCCAUGACAAUGAAAGCAACGAGUGUGCCUCUAGCUAUGGGUCAGGAGACCCCAUUCCCUUGCGAACACCCCGUGUGCAUAACCAAGUUGUUGACCAGGGAAGUCUCCAGACCAUGGCACUCCAGAACCUGCACUCCAAUCUUCUCAUCUGCUUUCCUUCCCAUCCCUCCAUCUUGGAGACAGCUGGCAGAGAAGGGGAGAAGCUGGAACUGUCCUCAGCCGCCAUCCCUGAGGUCCCCAGAAGUGUGUGAGGAGGCUGGAGUCAUCUCCAGGGGUGGGGAGUCCCCCCGAGAAUGGAGGAGUCUUGAGUCAGACAACAGACAGAUUUCUUGGGGACCAUGACCUUGAGUUGAGCAGAAAUGACUGGCCGUGGAGGUCUUUGGUGUCUGUGUCACCUCCUCUCUCCCUGAGACAGUCGUUGCGCCAUAAAUUGCAGGGGCCAGAACUUCGUUUCGGAAGGUUUUGUGAUCCCUCCUGCCCUCUCCACCUGGUGAUGUUGAAAUUUGUUGCUUUCCUUCAUGUUCCGACCGUGGGUGUAAUUAUUGCCAGGGGACCAGCAAUUAACCUUCCACAGAGAGACCAGGAAGACCUCUCCGGCGGAGCGUCCUGUGGCAGGAGGAGACGGUUUGUCGAGUUCCAGCGGAAGUGCCCGGAAUGUCUGCUCUCAGACAAGGGGGCGGCAGGCGGGGGACCCGGGGCCGUGGAAGGGUCAGUAUUUCCCACUGGUCUCAUCAGAACCGGAGUGUGGGGCUGUCACUGAACUUCACGAGGGAGAAUCAUAUCUCCAUCUGUGCUCGGGAUGCUGGGUCCAGCUGGAAAGUGUUCCCUCCCUAAUUUUCUCUUAGUACGUCCUUCACUCAGUAACAUACGUCCCUAUCACAUACUAAGCCACACAUAUUUCAUUUUCUUUUUCUUUAUGUUGAAGUAUAACUUAUACACAAUAAAAGGCACAAAUAUUAAAUGUGCA
rnacentral:lncRNA from 1 species